rnacentral:lncRNA from 1 species
GACAUCGUUGCUAACACUGUGAUUGAAAAGCCUGACUGCAGCAGUCAGAAUCGUGAGCAAAAGCAAUAGAGAAAAAUGGUAAAUAACCGACAUUCGUUAUUCCUUCUAUAAUCAAUAAGCAAUUCAUUUAACCUUUUGAGAAAAAUAUCUAUGACAAAGAGUGGAAACAUGUGUAGAAGCCCAAAUUAGCCCGGAUCUUUUAAAAAAAAUAAACCCAAACUAAAUCAAUUACAACAGCCCAAUAUAGGCUCAAAAUCAUUAAAACCCUAAAGACCCAGUUGGCCCAUAACUUUAACUAAUUUUCAGCAAAAACAAAAAAGAGCAAAACCCUAGCCGCAUGCCUUCAGCCACCAGCCUCUUCACGCGCGCCACCACCGCUCGGGGCGCCAAUCACCGGCCUUCCACGCGUCUGACACCACCUGCAACAAGAACAAACACAACAGCAAAGAAAGCAUGCGAAUAAUGGGGGAAGUAAUAAACAAAAGGAACGAAAAAAAACAUUGGCUUUAAAAGCCGAAAUCUAUCAUUUGUAAAAAAGGGAGGGGGGUGGUGGUAACACAGAUAUUAGAGAUCAAAACAAGUACAAACAAUAAAAAGAGCAAGAAAAGAAAAGGUUGAUAUGUGAUUCUACUUUCUUUAUUUCGUCUUUUAUUUUUUUUUCUCUAAUUUUUCUCUUGAUUUCAACACAAAUCUAUUAAAUAAGAGUAGACUUAAAACCAAAAAAGAAAAAAGAAGAAGAACCUCACAGGAAUAGCCCGCGAUUGUCUCGCCGGAUACCUUUCCUCCGUCGUCGGGACUAAAGGGAGGUGGAGUCCUUUCUUUUGGUUCUUGUCGACUCAAAAAAGGCUAGGACUUCGAGAUCCUUUUGGAACAAGGCCGAACGGCCCAUGCUCGCACCUCACCGGCCACCAAGUACGGUGGUGGUAUGGCGGUCCGAUGAUAAUGCGAUGAUGGGUUCUUGUAAACCCUGGCAGAGGAAAUGGAAAAGAGGGAGAGGGGGUAAAAGGCCCUCUGCAUUCUUUUUUCUUCUUUAAAACAGAAGCUGAAAUGAAAAAGAAAAAGGAAUGGC